UUAGACACAGAGAUGUAUAGCAGACGUUUGAUCCAGUGAGGUGGGAGUAGCCAUCGGCCUCAGAUAUAAUCAAGACACACAGUUGAAACUAAAAUAAGAGACAAUGACAACCACGGGGAUACAAUGAUCUAUUUACGUUUACAGGGCCCUCAAAAGUCCCUCAGUCAAGUAUUGAAUUUCAAGCACAGAUUCAACUACAAAGACCAGCAUGGUGGUCGCUGCAUCAUGGGUAUGGCUAUCCUUGACAUCUGCUAAUACUGGGGAGUUUUUCCAGGAUAAAAAGAAGCGGGAUGGAACUAAGCACAGGCAAAAUCCUAGAGAAAAAUUUGCUUCAGUCUGCUUUACACCAGAGACUGGGAGAGGGAUUCACCUUUCAGCAGGACAAUAACCUACAACACAAGGCCAAAUCUACACUGAAGUUGCUUACCUAGAAGACAGUGGAUGUUCCUGAGUGCCCAAUAUACAGUUUUGACUUAAAUCUGCUUGAAAAUCUAUGGCAAGACUUGAACAUUGUGGUCUAGCCAUGAUCUUGACAGGGUUUGAAGAAUCUUUUAAAGAAUAAUGGACCAAUAUUGCACAAUUCAGGUGUGAAAAGCUCUUAUAGACAUACCCAAGAAGACUCACAGCUGUGAUCGAUGCCAAAGGUGUCUCUAACAUGCAUUGACUAAGGAAGCCGCAUACUUAUGCAACAACUAUUGUUUAGUUAUUUAAUUUUUAUUCAUAUUUAAAUCAUGUUUGACUUUUUCUUCCUCUUUGACACUACAGAGUAUUUUGUGUAGAUUGUUGACAAAAAAGUACAAUUAAAUACAUUUUAAUCACACUUUGUAAUACAAUAAAAUGUGAAGAAAUCCAAGGGGUCUGGAUAAUUUUGCAAUGCACUGUAUGUGGUGGCCCCACAAAUCUAUCUUAAGAUCACGAGCGUCUGCUAAAUGACUCAAAUGUAACGUUUUCCAUUAGGUCGUAUAGGCUACAUAGAUUUCUUAUAAGUAGAGUUCUAUUUCCAGUAAAAAUCCAACAGAUGGCCGAUCUUUCCAGAGAAAGAAGAGGGAAGACAUUUGAAUGAUUCAUUUUGAUUAUGUUUUGGACGUGAUUUGAUUGCAGAGACUAGACUCUUAUGAUUCAGCAUACUAAAGUAUCAUACCAUAAGUUCCCCAAAAAGUAAAAAUGAUGCGCAGGUGUUUUUGGGUUGGUUCUUCUUGGUCCACCGAAACAGAACCAUCUGUACUGGUUGUUUUUCCUCGUAACUCAUUGAAUCACUUCCCAUGCAGCCUCCGCUCUCUCCGUUAAGGGCAGCACAGUGUUCCCUAGACAGUGGAACCACAUCUGCAAGCCAUUAACCCAGUUCGUUUGUCCACGUUGCUGGAAUUCUCGUUUUCUGACUUUGGGCCCAGACAGACUAGUGGACACACUAAGAAUUAUUCAAAGACUGCCACUUAUGGACAGCAAAAUCAGCUAAAAAAGAAAUAAAAAGUUUAGAUAAGAAACCAUUGUCAGCAGUAUAAAAUGAGGCAGCAGGCAUAGUGGUGCUCCUACUAUGACCUCCUCCUCUUCCUCACAUUCACCCCAAUACAGCUUAUUCCUUUAACCCCUCAACUCUUCUAUCCAGGCACAAUUUCCGCAUUUAUAUCCCCUUUACAAUCUCAGUCAAAUUAUUUAUCAAUUCUUCACUUUCACAUCCACCAUCACCAAACAUUUGAAACCAGGUUGCCACUUCUACACUGCAGACAAAUAAACAUCCAGACAGACAAUUUCAAUGUUUUCUUUCAUAGACAGCAGGUUUCCAUUACUCAACUUAAGAGUCUAGAACUGAAUCUGGGCAGCACACACAUAUACACACACCACAGGCAACGUGGCAUUCUGCACGUAGGCUGCCAAAUACUUGUAGGCCCAUACACAGCAUCCAGGAGGAGGAGCCUCUCACACUGUACUGCCCUGGCCCACAACUACACUGGAGCUUCUGGUUUCACUCCCACCCCAUAAUGAUCAGUACUUUUCAACCUCAUAAAGUAUGGCAUCUGAAAUGCAUGGGAGGAGAUUGUCUGUGACUCCAAGUGCAUGAACCCUGGACUUCUGAAUGUUUGAACUUUGCACAUACCAACCGCAUAAUGUAAUGAUGUCUAAUGAAUUUAUCUUCUUUCCCUGGAAAAUCAUCAGUGUGCGUUGUCUAGGAAACAUGAAAGCAGAUAUGGAAAGAAAUGUACAGGAUUGGUAAAAGUAGGAAUGACAGAGAUGUGAGGGGGGAGAGUGAUAUAAAAGAGAAAGCCAGGUCAGAAUGAUAACACAAGCAUUUCCCCCUACACACGCAAUAACAUCUUCUAAAUAUGUGUAUGUGACCAGUAAAAUUUGAUUUGAUAACAGCUUGGACUAAAAAUAUUGACCUAAUUCAAAGCAAAUGUCUUUGAGGUGGUCAUAAUGAAGUCACAACAACUCACUUCACCAAUGCAUAUGAAAAGCACCAUCUAUUGGGCGUAUAAUGUAUUGCAGUCAAACAGCAAAACAGUGCUGUGGUGGCCCUUCAGUUUUGAAGUUAGUGGGCAAGGUGCGAAUUACAGGGAAACCAGGGGGAGCUCAGGUUCACUGAAUGAGAAGUUAGCGCCCAUAAAUGCUCAUCUAAAUAAUGCUAAUUUAACCAUUCCCUAUUUGUUAAAAAGGUAGUGUUAAAUAUGUUUUACAGUGGUAAAUUAAAAUAAACACCUCCAUCUAUCUGUCAUGGUUUAAACCAUUUAUUUCUAUGUGGAGGCACUGUCCACUCAGUAGUGCUGGAUUUCAGCCUCAGCUGAGCCCCUGUCUGCAUAGAUUUUCCUUUGUAUGUCUUAAUUUUGCCAUUUGUUUGCUAUGGCUCCUUGAUAAAAAAAAAAAAAUAGCCUUUAUUCCAACACAUUAGAUUUAUCCAUUGAUUUAUCAUUGUUUGCUUUUGUCAGCCAGCUGUUUAGAGCACUCAUUGUAUUGUUUUUCAGGUACGCGCGGGUACUGGUGUUCUCCGUGCCCAGAAGUACACUGAACAAAAAUAUAAACACAACAUGCAAAAAAUUCUAGAUUUGACUGAGUUACAGUUCAUAGAAGGAAAUCAGUCAAUUGAAAUACAUUCAUUAGGCCCUAAUCUAUGGAUUUCACAUGCCUGGGAAUACAGAUAUGCAUCUGUUGGUCACAGACACCUUAAAAAAAAGGUAGGGGCGUAGAUGAGAAAACCAGUCAAUAUCUGGUGUUACCACCAUUUGCCUAAUACAGCGCGACACAUCUCCUUCGCAUAGAGUUGAUCAGGCUGUUGAUUGUGGCCUGUGGAAUGUUGUCGCACUCCUCUUCAAACGCUGUGCGAAGUAUCUUGAUAUUGUUGGGAACUGGAACAUGCUGUCGUAUACAUAGAUUCAGAGCAUCCCAAACAUACUCAAUGGGUGACGUCUUGUGAGUAUGCACGGUAUCUCUGUGCAUUCAAAUGACCAUUGAUAAAAUGCAAUUGUGUUCGUUGUUCGUAGCUUAUGCCUGCCCAUACCAUAACCCCACCUCCACCAUGGGGCACUCUGUUCACAAUGUUGACAUCAGCAAACCGCUCGCCCACACGACGCCAUACAGUACACACUGUCUGGUACAGGUGCACUUGUGUAAUGAUCAUGCUGUUUAAUCAGCUUCUUGAUUUACCACCUGUCAAGGUGGAUGGAUUAUCUGGCAAAGAGAAAUGCUCACUAACAGGGAUGUAAACAAUA